GGAAGAGUAUCGAAGCGGUCAUAACGGGCCUGACUCGAAAUCAGGUGUACGGAAACGUACCGUGGGUUCGAAUCCCACCUCUUCCGCCA
rnacentral:tRNA from 1 species